AUAGUCUAAACCAGCAAAUAGAAAGCAGAGUCAAAGCUUCAAACUGCCAUCAGUUCUCAUCAUGAUCCGACUUUAUGCAGACGAUACCUUCCUUUAUUAACCAAACAAUAAAUACAGCCAUAAGAUACACAUUCAACUCACCUCCUGCUGUCAGGACUGCUGCUGCCAUCUGCCAUCUGUCAGACACACAGGUAGACACACAGGCAGACAGACAGACAGACAGGUAGACACACAGGCAGACAGACAGGUAGACAGACAGGGAGACACACAGGUAGACACACAGGCAGACAGAUAGGUAGGUAGACAGACAGGGAGACACACAGGUAGACACACAGGCAGACAGACAGACAGACAGACAGACACACAGGCAGACAGACAGGUAGACAGACAGAGAGACACACAGGCAGACAGACAGGUAGACAGACAGAGAGACACACAGGCAGACAGAUAGGUAGACAGACAGGUAGACACACAGGUAGACACAGGCAGACAGAUAUGUAGACACACAGGUAGACACACAGGCAGACAGAUAGGUAGACAGACAGGCAGACACACAGGUAGACACACAGGCAGACAGACAGACAGACAGACAGACACACAGGCAGACAGACAGGUAGACAGACAGAGAGACACACAGGCAGACAGAUAGGUAGACAGACAGGUAGACAGAUAAGUAGACACACAGGUAGACACAGGCAGACAGAUAGGUAGACAGACAGGUAGACAGAUAAGUAGACACACAGGUAGACACACAGGCAGACAGAUAGGUAGGUAGACAGACAGGGAGACACACAGGUAGACACACAGGCAGACAGAUAGGUAGACAGACAGGCAGACAGAUAGGUAGACACACAGGUAGACAUACAGGUAGACACACAGGCAGACAGAUAGGUAGACAGACAGGGAGACACACAGGUAGACACACAGACAGACAGGCAGACACACAGACAGGCAGACACACAGGUAGACACACAGGCAGACAGACAGACAGACACACAGGCAGACAGACACACAGGUAGACACAAAGGCAGACAGACA